rnacentral:rRNA from 1 species
UACGAGGGGGGCAAGCGUUGUUCGGAAUUAUUGGGCGUAAAGGGCGCGUAGGCGGUGCGGUAAGUCUGAUGUGAAAUCUCCGGGCUCAACCCCGGGUCGGCCGUGGCAACUGCUGGGCUGGAGCACAGUAGAGGCGGGUGGAAUUCCGGGUGUAGCGGUGGAAUGCGCAGAUAUCAGGAAGAACACCCGUGGCUAAGGCGGUUCUCUAGUACGGUACUGACGCUGAGACGCGAAAGCGUGGGGAGCGAACAGG